rfam:Gossypium arboreum cultivar AKA8401 contig_117962_1, whole genome shotgun sequence.
AACCCAUGGUGAGGGCAUCUUCGCAAAAGGUCCAUGUAUCUCUCUCAUGCAUCGUAGAGUGUUUUUAAAUCCAUCUGCACAAAAGAGGAGAUAUCAUUACUCAAUUU